AUGUACCACGCGUACACUCCGGUUCCUCCGCGCCGUCCGCACACGCCCGACGACCGCCCGUUACGUGUUGUUAGCC
rnacentral:sRNA from 1 species